rnacentral:rRNA from 1 species
ACUCCUGCGGGAGGCAGCAGUGGGGAAUUUUGGACACUGGGCGAAAGCCUGAUCCAGCAAUGCCGCGUGAGUGAAGAAGGCCUUCGGGUUGUAAAGCUCUUUUGUCAGGGAAGAAACGGUGAAAGCUAAUAUCUUUUGCUAAUGACGGUACCUGAAGAAUAAGCACCGGCUAACUACGUGCCAGCAGCCGCGGUAAUACGUAGGGUGCAAGCGUUAAUCGGAAUUACUGGGCGUAAAGCGUGCGCAGGCGGUUUUGUAAGUCUGAUGUGAAAUCCCCGGGCUCAACCUGGGAAUUGCAUUGGAGACUGCAAGGCUAGAAUCUGGCAGAGGGGGGUAGAAUUCCACGUGUAGCAGUGAAAUGCGUAGAUAUGUGGAGGAACACCGAUGGCGAAGGCAGCCCCCUGGGUCAAGAUUGACGCUCAUGCACGAAAGCGUGGGGAGCAAACAGGAUUAGAUACCCGGGUAGUCCCAUGAU